rnacentral:rRNA from 1 species
AGCUCCGGGAAACCGGAAUUAAUACCCCAUAAUUUAUCAGAUGGACAUCCAUCAGAUAAUAAAGUUUCGGCGGUUAAGGAUGGGCAUGCGGCCCAUUAGCUUGUUGGUGAAGGUAACGGCUCACCAAGGCAACGAUGGGUAGCUGGUCUGAGAGGAUGAUCAGCCACACUGGCACUGAGAUACGGGCCAGACUCCUACGGGAGGCAGCAGUAGGGAAUAUUGGGCAAUGGGCGAGAGCCUGACCCAGCCAUGCCGCGUGCAGGAUUGAAUGCUCUAUGAGUUGUAAACUGCUUUUGUCUGUGACGAAUAAGCCUGUUUCUACGGGAAUUGACGGUAGCAGACGAAUAAGGACCGGCUAACUCCGUGCCAGCAGCCGCGGUAAUACGGAGGGUCCGAGCGUUAUCCGGAUUUACUGGGUUUAAAGGGUGCGUAGGUGGUUUGGUAAGUCAGUGGUGAAAUCUUCCGGCUUAACCGGGAAACUGCCAUUGAAACUACCAGGCUUGAGUGUCGUUGAGGCGAGUGGAAUGUAACAUGUAGCGGUGAAAUGCUUAGAUAUGUUACAGAACACCAAUUGUGAAGAUAGCUCGCUGGACGAUAACUGACACUGAGGCACGAAAGCGUGGGUAGCGAACAGGAUUAGAUACCCUGGUAGUCCACGCCCUAAACGAUG